rnacentral:tRNA from 1 species
GCCCAGAUGGCGGAAUUGGUAGACGCGCUAGAUUCAGGGUCUAGUGAUCGCAAGGUCGUGGAAGUUCGAGUCUUCUUCUGGGCACCA